GACGAACGCUGGCGGCGUGCCUAAUACAUGCAAGUUGAGCGCUGAAGGUUGGUACUUGUACCAACUGGAUGAGCAGCGAACGGGUGAGUAACGCGUGGGGAAUCUGCCUUUGAGCGGGGGACAACAUUUGGAAACGAAUGCUAAUACCGCAUAAAAACUUUAAAAACAAAUUUUAAGGUUGAAAGAUGCCAUUGCAUCACUCAAAGAUGGAUCCGGGUUGUAUUAGCUAGGUGGUGAGGUAAAGGCUCACCAAGGCGAUGAUACAUAGCCGACCUGAGAGGGUGAUCGGCCACAUUGGGACUGGGACACGGCCCAAACUCCUACGGGAGGCAGCAGUAGGGAAUCUUCGGCAAUGGACGAAAGUCUGACCGAGCAACGCCGCGUGAGUGAAGAAGGUUUUCGGAUCGUAAAACUCUGUUGGUAGAGAAGAACGUUGGUGAGAGUGGAAAGCUCAUCAAGUGACGGUAACUACCCAGAAAGGGACGGCUAACUACGUG
rnacentral:rRNA from 1 species